UACGAAGGUGGCAAGCGUUGUUCGGAUUUACUGGGCGUACAGGGAGCGUAGGCGGUUGGAUAAGCCCUCCGUGAAAUCUCCAGGCUUAACCUGGAAAGUGCAGAGGGGACUGUUCAGCUAGAGGAUGGGAGAGGAGCGCGGAAUUCCCGGUGUAGCGGUGAAAUGCGUAGAGAUCGGGAGGAAGGCCGGUGGCGAAGGCGGCAUCCUGGACCGAUAUUGACGCUGAUGCGCGAAAGCCAGGGGAGCAAACGGG
rnacentral:rRNA from 1 species